rnacentral:rRNA from 1 species
CUGUCGGAGGGGAAGACAAAAAAGAACGGUACCCUCCAAGAAAGCCCGGCUAACUACGUGC